rnacentral:rRNA from 1 species
UACGUAGGGGGCUAGCGUUGUCCGGAAUCAUUGGGCGUAAAGAGCGUGUAGGCGGCCCGGUAAGUCCGCUGUAAAAGUCAAAGGCUCAACCUUUGAAUGUCAGUGGAUACUGCCGGGCUAGAGUCCGGAAGAGGCGAGUGGAACUCCUGGUGUAGCGGUGGAAUGCGCAGAUAUCAGGAAGAACACCAACGGCGAAGGCAGCUCGCUGGGACGGUACUGACGCUGAGACGCGAAAGCGUGGGGAGCGAACACG